CUUUGUCAAAACACGUUUGACAACACAAUAAAAGGAUUAUUCUUUUCCUGAAUAGAAAAACCCACUUUUCGCUGGGCCUAGUGGCGCAGGCCUGUAUUCCAGGCACUCCAGAGGCUGAGGCAGGAGGAUUGCUGCAAUUUUGAGGCAAGCCUGGGCAACACAAUGAGUUCAAGAUCAGCCUACAGGGAUCGAACUCUGGACCUUGCUCUUUCAAGGAAAUGAAAUUUAAACAAAGGAGCUUGCCUUCCGGACAACAAAGGCCUACCUGCAACCAGGUGCAUCCCUGGUUUCUGUCAUGUACAUCUACACCAAAAACUAUAAAGACACCUGAGUGUGAACUUCCAUGGCAUUCACCAUAACGGAAACCUUCUCUGACUAGCAAAUAGCUUUUCCUUUUUUACUUUCUAAUAAACAUACAUUUGACUACUCC
rnacentral:lncRNA from 1 species